rnacentral:lncRNA from 1 species
AGACAUGGCAAAAGAAGAAGUGGAAGAAGGAGGAAUCAAGAGGCAAGAAACAAGGAUGGGGAUGCCUUUCAGGAUAGCUUGGCUUGAGGGAAGCAACAAGGCUGAUGCCCUGGACAGAAGGAUUCACAGAAUGGAGAAAGAUCUAGAAAUCUUUUUUGCUAACAGAAGCCAUCAACACAAAUGUGACACCCGAGAACAGCUUACAACUGAUCUGAAGAUCAAAUGAGUUAGCUUUUGCAAAGCACAAAGCAGGCGAGCUUCGGGCCUUCCAGCUGCUGCCCAUGUAAGCAGGCACUUCGGCUUUGCUCAUUUACACUGACUGCCCUUUCUCGCUAUGCUUGCACCUCCAAAUUCUACAUUCAUCAGAAUCGAAGUCAAACUCCAAGUCCUUCAUGAAGCCUUCCCUGAUUC